CCCUUAGAUGUCCUGGGCUGCACGCGCGCUACACUGACGAACUCAACGAGCUUAUCACCUUGGCAGAGAUGUCUGGGUAAUCUUUUGAAAGUUCGUCGUGCUGGGGAUAGAUGAUUGUAAUUAUUCGUCUUGAACGAGGAAUUCCUAGUAAGUGUGAGUCAUCAGCUCGCGCUGAUUACGUCCCUGCCCUUUGUACACACCGCCCGUCGCUCCUACCGAUUGAAUGGUCCGGUGAGGUUCUCGGAUUUUUUCUGUUGUUUGGUUCGCUAAACGAUUGGAGAGAGAAGUUACCCAAACCUUACCAUUUAGAGGAAGGAGAAGUCGUAACA
rnacentral:rRNA from 1 species